AUGUCAGCCACCGAUGCUCAAUCCUCCCUCCGCCACGCCUUCGGUAACGUUCUCGUCUUCUUCAUCCUGAUCCUGAUCGCUGUUCUCGCCUUCUCGCCUUCUCGAUCCGUCUCUUCUCCUUGUAUACAGGUUAUAAAAUACGAGAGCUUUAUUCAUGAAUUCGAUCCUUAUUUCAACUACAGAGUCACUCAGUUUUUGUCAAAGAAUGGGAUAUAUGAUUUUUGGAACUGGUUUGAUGACCGGACUUGGUAA